GCUCUCCCCCCUCCUUCCUCCCCACCCCGCCCCCCUCCCCGCGGUCUCCCGUGCGGUGCCCUGAGCGCUGGAGGCUGACGUCAGGGGCCUGAAUUCCUGACUUUGCCUGCACGCAUUUGUCCAUGUAAGGUCCCAGGCUCCCGGGCAGUGAGCUCCGAACCGAGUUAGACCCGCGAGGAGGACUCGACCACCCACUGAAGUGACUAACCCCAGUUCCUGGAAGGUUGUGGUUGACGAGCCUUGAGUAACAAUGGCAGUCGGGUGCUUCGGGCCAACUUCCUGUCCUUUGUUCAGAGAAAUGAACCUUUUGGAGUUUGAGGCUUUGCUUCCCAACCCUACCCUGCCGGAAAACCGGAGAGCUUGCUCUGUCCUUACAGCUUGAAAAAGAAAAUACACGAA